AACGAACGCUGGCGGCGUGCUUAACACAUGCAAGUCGAACGAGAAACACGUCCUUCGGGGCGUGGAGUAAAGUGGCGCACGGGUGAGUAACACGUGGGUAACCUGCCCUCGGGAUUGGGAUAACUGGCCGAAAGGCCCGCUAAUACCGGAUAAGACCACAGGGACUUCGGUCCUGGUGGCCAAAGUCGGCCUCCCUAUAGCAGCCGGCACCCGUGGAAGGGCCCGCGGACCAUUAGCUAGUUGGUAGGGUAACGGCCUACCAAGGCCAAGAUGGUUAGCUGGUCUUAGAGGAUGAUCAGCCACACUGGAACUGAGAUACGGUCCAGACUCCUACGGGAGGCAGCAGUGAGGAAUAUUGCGCAAUGGAGGCAACUCUGACGCAGCAACGCCGCGUGGGUGAAGAAGGCUUUCGGGUUGUAAAGCCCUGUCAGGUGGGAAGAAACCCUGGGAUGUGAAUAGCAUCUUAGGCUGACGGUACCACCGGAGGAAGCACCGGCUAACUCCGUGCCAGCCGCCGCCGUAA
rnacentral:rRNA from 1 species